rnacentral:rRNA from 1 species
GGCGACCGGCAAACGGGUGCGGAACACGUACGCAACCUUCCUUUAAGCGGGGAAUAGCCCAGGGAAACUUGGAUUAAUACCCCAUAAGACGGUGGUGUGGCAUCACACAGCUGUUAAAGCUACGGCACUUAAAGAUGGGCGUGCGGCUGAUUAGGUAGUUGGCGGGGUAACGGCCCACCAAGCCGACGAUCAGUAACUGGUGUGAGAGCACGACCAGUCACACGGGCACUGAGACACGGGCCCGACUCCUACGGGAGGCAGCAGUAAGGAAUAUUGGUCAAUGGACGCAAGUCUGAACCAGCCAUGCCGCGUGGAGGAUGAAGGCCCUCUGGGUUGUAAACUUCUUUUAUUGGGGAAGAAACCCAUCUUUUCUAAGGUGGUUGACGGUACCCGAUGAAUAAGCACCGGCUAGCUCCGUGCCAGCAGCCGCGGUAAUACGGAGGGUGCAAGCGUUAUCCGGAUUCACUGGGUUUAAAGGGUGCGUAGGUGGGCAGGUAAGUCAGUGGUGAAAUCUCCGGGCUUAACCCGGAAACUGCCGUUGAUACUAUUU